rnacentral:tRNA from 1 species
GAAUAUAGAGCUCAGUGGUAGAGUGCUUGCUUAGCAUGCAUGAGGUCCUGAGUUCAAUCCCCAGUGCCUCCA